UAAGGGAAUCUUCGGCAAUGGACGAAAGUCUGACCGAGCAACGCCGCGUGAGUGAAGAAGGUUUUCGGAUCGUAAAACUCUGUUGGUAGAGAAGAACGUUGGUGAGAGUGGAAAGCUCAUCAAGUGACGGUAACUACCCAGAAAGGGACGGCUAACUACGUGCCAG
rnacentral:rRNA from 1 species